GAUGAAGAACGUAGCGAAAUGCGAUAAGUAAUGUGAAUUGCAGAAUUCAGUGAAUCAUCGAAUCUUUGAACGCACAUUGCGCCCGCUAGUAUUCUGGCGGGCAUGCCUGUUCGAGCGUCAUUUCAACCAUCAAGCCCCAGGCUUGUGUUGGGGACCUGCGGCUGCCGCAGGCCCUGAAAACCAGUGGCGGGCUCGCUGUCACACCGGGCGUAGUAGAUUUUAUCUCGCUCAGGGCGUGCUGCGGGUCCCGGCCGUUAAAAGCCUUUUUUUACCCAAGGUUGACCUCGGAUCAGGUAGGAAGACCCGCUGAACUUAAGCAUAUCAAUAAGGGAGGA
rnacentral:misc_RNA from 1 species